GGGUGAUCUGCCUCCCUGCAGCCCCAAAGCGAGUGGGAGACCCUCACCAUCCACUGGCCCAGCAGCCGUCCCCCUGUUCAGAGCAGUGGGUGCUCACAUUGCCAAGCAUUUUUUCUCUCCAUUUCCCUACCCCCUGGGGAAAAAAAAGUUGGGAUGAAAGCCUGCGCUCUUUUGAUAACUUCCCUUAACUAUCAGCUAAAUAAUACAUGAACACGGACUCUCCAUGCUGACGGAUGACUCCCUCUGCUGACCCUGUUUUAUUUUUAUUGCUUAGCUCGGGCCAGUUCCUUCAAGUCCUGAAUCAUCAGAACAGAGACCUUGAGAUACACCCCACCGUGUUCUGGGGCCUCACCUCCUGUUUUGGCUCUAGGAAAAAAGAAAGGAACCUCCUGGAUCCCAAGCUGAGCAGCUCCAAUGCCUGCCUUUACAAUAUUGUUACAGUCAGACAUGAAAUCUUAAUGCAGGAUAGUGCCUCAAAUCUUACAUUCUUCUGAAAAAGGUGAGUCCCCAGUAGUAAAUGAAAUAUUAAAUAUUAUUAAAUAUGAAACAGUUAAACCUGGAUUCCAUUAAAAUGAAUCUUUCAUAGUUUUCCUGUUGUUUCCCCCCACCCAUUUUUUUCUCCCUCCAGGGAGUACAGCAACCUCAUGAGCUUUUAUGUGUCCUCCUAAAGACUGAAAAAUCACAGGUAAUUGUAAGUCUGUUCUAUUCAGAUUUAUUUGAGCUGGAAAACAAAUCAAGGCCUCGAAACCCUCUCAUGGUUGCAUCUAUCUCACUGAACUAUUUAACAGGCUGUAUCAAAGGCUCGCCUAAAGACACCAUGUAAUGCCUGUUGACACGUGCCACCUAUCUGAGAACCUUGUAUCCAGUCACACACUUUGCUUUCAUGUAGAUUGACUUUAAUCUUCCACCACAUGAUAAAGAUAAAAAUGUUUUCAUAGUGCAUAGGAUACUUCCAGAGAUGUUUUUUGUUGCUCCUGAAGAUUUUCUGGGAGUUAAACUGCGACUUGAGUGAGUGCUGAUGUGUGAGCUGUCAACUGGGCAGCCCAAAGAACAGCUACAAGAGAGAACAUCUUAUAGAGCUGCCAUGAAUUGGGGAUUGUCUGGCCAUGAGAUCCUGGCUGGGGUUAGAUCUGCACAGAGCACACAGAGCAGUUGAUAGGAUAAGCCCUUACUCAACAUUGCUGCAGUAUUUCGUGGUUAGUGCAUUUGCAACUGAGUGUUUGAAAAGUGGGUAACUGCACAGGUCAGCUGCUGGAAUGGACAGCAAGGUGUAUAAUUCUCAUUAGAAGCCUUUAUGUCCCUGCAUUCAGAACCUAAGCCCUCUCUUCUAUUAGGAGCAGAUGUAUUUGAAGGAGAUAAACAGGAAUUUUUAGAAGAGGAUGGGAGAAAGAGUCCUUAGCUUUGAUAAAAGGGUAGAGGAUCACGGCUCUUGCUUGAGCUUCUCCUCCUGUACUGCAGAUAGCUGGGUCUGAUGUGACCUCCAUUUCCAGCACUGCUUUAAUUCCUGACCCACCAUGUCAUGAGCUCCAAAACACACACAAAUUAGCUUGUCAACCUUGAGAUGCUCGUUUGGGCUGGAAGGCAAUAAGAAAAGCAAGCUAAAAUGGCGAAGAAGGUAAAAAUCCAUUCAUUAUUCAUUGCUACUGCUUCAUGUUGUGCAAAAAGCCUUCCACCUUGCUUUCCACUCUGCUUGUGUUAGGUCACUUCUGAGGCUCAGCGAUGCAAGCACAGCCCCUGCUGCAGGAGCCCUCCAGUGCCUCUGCCCCUCUUCAGGAUCCUAGAAACACAGGGAAGAAAGAGAGAAGCCAGCUCAGCAGACAGAAGGGAGAACCCAUGCUCUUUCCCAUUCCAGAGUUUUUGUAACAUUUCACAGUUUGCUUAAAAAAAAUAAAAUAAAAUAGCAAAUGGCA
rnacentral:lncRNA from 1 species